UACGUAGGGUGCAAGCGUUGUCCGGAACUAUUGGGCGUAAAGAGCUCGUAGGCGGUUUGUCGCGUCUGCUGUGAAAACUCGGGGCUUAACCCCGGGCCUGCAGUGGGUACGGGCAGACUAGAGUGCGGUAGGGGAGACUGGAAUUCCUGGUGUAGCGGUGAAAUGCGCAGAUAUCAGGAGGAACACCGGUGGCGAAGGCGGGUCUCUGGGCAACAACUGACGCUGAGGAGCGAAAGCGUGGGGAGCGAACAGG
rnacentral:rRNA from 1 species